GGACUGAGUAACAACACUCUGGACCAGAGGUAGACAAAGGACAGACACAAGAGUAGCUCUGGUCCAGGGCUGAGGGGUAAUAUACAUGUAUAAAGUCAGGUCCAUGAACUAUGAUGUACUCAGCUCAUAUACAUCAACAAUACAGGACCAAAAACAGUCAAAAUAUCAUUCAAGUGUCAUCAUUGAAAGCUAUAUGUUGUGAGAAGACAUUUUCAAAUGACUGUAGAGAGUACAGUAUGUAGGGAAUAUAACAUUACAGGAUGUAGAGUACAGUAUGUAGUGAAUAUAACAUUACAGACUGUAGAGUACAGUAUGUAGGGAAUAUAACAUUACAGACUGUAGAGUAGUGAAUAUAACAUUACAGACUGUAGAGUAGUGAAUAUAACAUUACAGACUGUAGAGUACAGUAUGUAGG
rnacentral:lncRNA from 1 species